rnacentral:rRNA from 1 species
GGCCCGCAACAGGCGGCGGAGCAUGUGGUUUAAUUCGACGCAACGCGAAGAACCUUACCAGCGUUUGACAUGGGAAGUGCCGGUUACAGAAUGGUAACCUUCAGUUCGGCUGGCUUCCGCACAGGUGCUGCAUGGCUGUCGUCAGCUCGUGUCGUGAGAUGUUGGUUAAGUCCCGCAACGAGCGCAACCCUUAUCGUUAGUUACUAACAGUUCGGCUGAGGACUCUAGCGAAACUGCCGGUGAUAAGCCGGAGGAAGGUGGGGAUGACGUCAAGUCCUCAUGGCCCUUACACGCUGGGCUACACACGUGCUACAAUGGUAACUACAACGGGCAGCGACACCGCGAGGUGAAGCGAA